CAGCAGAGUGGCUGCGGAUGGUCGGCCGCUUCUGAUUACCGAUGAUUGAUGAUGAACACCGCCAGAGAGGAGCAAAAGCCAACUUCUACAUCCGAAAAAAUAACUUUAACCUUAAAAUUUCGGGAAAGAUGGAGAUGUAAACGCGACGGUCCGCCCCGACGAACGCCGGAGCCGGAGAAAGCCACGGUAAUAAUUCUGCGCAUUACUCAAUUAGUUUCGGUGUGUGCAAUUGCAGAGCUGAUGGCGACAAUAAAGGGCAGCGCACACACAAUUGCUGGAUAUGUGUGUGUGGGUAGAUCCAUAAGAACGACAAUGCCGUUUCGACAUCUCGCUACAAUGCGCAAACAGGGGUGAUGCGACGUCGUUGAUUAUGUUAUUUUAUUUUCCACGCCAGUGAGGGUUCAUCAACAUAAAUCAACACCAAAUGGAGCUGUCGUCAUCGAUAAACUUCACGAUUUAAUAAAAGUCGUGUUUUUGAGUUUUCACGAAGAAAUCUUUUGAUAUUCACCCUAAAAAUAGUUUCUAUUCAUUUUUAGGAGUCUAUUAUGUCACUGGGCAAUAUUUUAACGCACUCAUUCAAGAAUUUUACUUUUACACUUUGAAGACGAGUGUGUUGUGGCAGAUUUUACUCACACAAUAUACCAGCAGAUGUUUACAUCUCUCAAAAUUUCCGUAGAGGAACAUUACUCUUGGGUUUGAACGCUUCCACACCCCACGAGCGUGUCAAUCGCUUUCAGACCCAAUUCAGGUCAUUGUAAUAAAUUACCAUCAAUAAAAUGUGUUGUAAGGGAUGCAAGCUACACAACUGCUAAUCACUGGAUGAAGAAUUAAACGAAAGUAAUGAUAGAAAAGAGAAUGGGCAUGAAAUUGCAGCGCGCGCACGCGAACAAGUGGAAAAGGUAAAUAAAAACAGCAAGUCAAGUGUGCAUCAUCGAGUUGGAUCAUUCUAGUUGGAUCAGUGGCCAGUAAAUGGAGUGCAUGGAGCCGUAGGUAAACAAAUGAACACCUAAUCGAAUCACCGCCGACGCCGAACCGCAUUCGGGUACGACUAUGAGCCGCUAACGGCUUGAGACUGGUCGAAAAGAGGGUUGAACACUUUCAACUUCAAAUCAAUUGCAAUUGCACAUCAACACUAAAAAUUACACACUAUUUACAUAGAUAUUAUUCUAUAAAAAUUUAAAAAUUAUUUUUUUGUGUUUUUAGUGCAAUGCAACGCAACAACAGCAACAUGUUUGGUCUGCAAGCUUUGGAUAAAAUAUCGAAUUACACGUCGGUACGCACGUACGCAAAUUAAUUCCGACUCAUCGGACCGAAUGUCUCCUCUCCUAGACAAAGUCCUGUAUACUGAUAUAUUUUUCCUCUUGGUGUGUGUGUGUGAUGCAACGUAACGCGAUAUCAUACACGUCCGUCACGCAUAUUACCUCGCCGGCGACCACUUUGCUCUCUUGCAUCUAUAAAAACACUGCCGGUGGACUGCUUGGUUACCUUGGUUACCUCUACAUCUACCUACAUAUUGACGGGUGGACGGGGAAAAACGAAGCCAACAAGCCGAUCGCCCGAUACGAUCUGUCCGCUUAAUUUGGUACCUAAAUGACGAAAAUGCGAAAUGACUUGCGAGACGCGAUUUUUCUUCACGACAAGCACGUCGAGAGCGCCAUCGGUGGUCCAGGCGUCACCGGUCCACUCGGACACUGAUGGGACCUUAUAACAGGUGGUUUUUUUCAUCAAACUAUAACCUGAUUCAAUUUCUUUUCAAAUGUGGAUUAAUAUUACCUACGUGGAGAUUAGAUCAAAAAGAAUAAAAGUGAAUAACACUCAUUUACAUAGUCGCAUCUCAUUAAAAUAUUCAUAAAAUUUUAUUAGAUCACAUUACUAUCAGUAAAAGUUUUAAAUUACUCAUUAAAUAAAAGUGAAUUAAUAGAAAUAUAAUACAAUACUUUAAAAGACUAUAAAGUUUCAUUUUCUUAUCAAAAAUCAACUGAAAAGUUAAUUUUUAAAGUAAAUAAAAUGAAUUUUGAUGUUAUUUUGUAUUAAGGUGUAAUUUUACGCAAAGCCACGUGUAGAAAACAGGCGUGUCCGUUUACAUCUCCACCCUUGGGAAGAUCGAUAUCAGGACACACCCACUGUACCCUUCCAGAAGUGUAGGGAAGUCGCGCUGCACGCUAUGUCGACAAACGGUUCAAAAUAAGCGAAAAAUAUCAAGUUUUUGAAAUUCGCUUGAAAUCUGUCGUUGUACGUUGACCAGAUGCUGGCCGAUGCAGUAUUAGGGCUUCCCGGAGCUUUGUGAGAUAUCAAAACAUGACUGUGUGUUUGAGGAGCGCUCCGCAAGCAAAGAGAUCAAAGAAAAAUUCACUUUUUAUAUUAAUAUUUGGAUGGAUACACCGCGCGUACUCCUCGGUUUAGGAAAAGCUCGGCACCCUCGUCGAUGACGCCGACGAUGGUGAUGCUCGCCUGUGGAUUCCGCUCCCGGUAUAAUGUGCUCGCGGAAGCGUUAUGUCGGUGCGGAGGAGGCUGGGUGGCUGGUUCGGAACCCCGCUCUCGCGCGAGGGAGGAACGCAUUGGACUGGAAUGCCGGCGCGAUAAUUUCAUAAAAUAUGUAUUCGUGCCCGCGGCCGCCUUAUCGGUUACGGCAUCUCAUGCGAACCACGAACCAGUCAAAAGUGCGUACGCACUGAAGAAGGGUUAUCAACGUAUUACAUUAAACGAUGUACAGGCAUGGAAAACGGAAAACUUGCAGCGAGACGCUGUUGUCUUUAACUUUGAAUUAUUCAAAUUCAAACAGUGCCACUUUAUAGCGGAAAUUUUAAGAUCAUCUAAAGUCAAAAAUUUAAUAUGCGCACAAAUAUUGAUGUUAGUAUUAAAAUUUUAUCAUAAUAACGCUUUAAAUUUAAAAACUUGCAUUUAUUGCAAAAUUUGUGAUUCAUAGUUUAGGGGUAGUUUUAAAUUGGACAUUAGAGGAUAUCCACGAGAAACCCCCAAGUGUGUGUGCAGCGAUCCGUCCUGACCCAGAUAUUGUCAGAUUUAAAAUCGAAACAAAUUGGGAUUAAGCAUCACGGUGAUUUAAACACCACCCUAAUAUCUAGUAUGUGAAUCAUACCUUAUGUUGGUAUUGAAUAUGAAACGGAGAAAAAGUUGAAAAUUUUACAAAAAAAUAUUAUUUUGUGUAUUAAGUGCGCAAAAUUUC